rnacentral:tRNA from 1 species
GUGGGGCUGUGGCUCAAUGGUAGAGUGCUUGCCUAGCACGUGUGAGGCACUGGGUUUGAUCCCCAGCACCACA